AGAGAAACAUUUUUUAAUUGCAUAAUUAUACUAAGAUAGAAGUUACAAAUCUUGGACAUUGAUAGACAUUUACUCAUAUUAACUUGGCCUGUGUACUUAUAUAAGCAAAACAAGAUAAUACCUAUCAACACAUUUCAGGCAAAUUUCUACUUUAUCGAUAAAUCCAAAAUGUGAUCACCAUUAGUACCACCACUUCAAACCAUGUAAAGGGAUGAUUGCAAACUUAUGAUAUUUAGAUACUACUUUAGCCAAAGAUAUUAUAUUUGGUUUUAUAUUUUGAAUAGUGGUCUGUUGUAUCACAUGCUGAUCUGUCACCAGUCCAUAGAAAACCUUUGUGAAAUCUAGGAAAAGAUGUCCUUUCUGGAUGGAUAAAGUCCUGCAAAGUGCCUGACUUGACAAGGUGACACUCCUUCCUCCAUAUGGGGCAGGUAUAUCCCCAUGCCAGCCCCAGUUUAGUAAGUGGACCUCAGGCUGAAUUUCUGCUCCUAUUCUCCUGUCAAAACUGUAUGUGGUGCCCUGAAAGUUGGAAAUACUAAUGAAAGAUUCAAAAUAAAAUUAGUAUUCCCUACUAUAUUGUCUUAACAAAUUAAAAAAUAUGACUCUGCUAAGAAACAUUAUUUCAGUAUUUCAUAUGCAGA
rnacentral:lncRNA from 10 species